rnacentral:rRNA from 1 species
UACGGAGGAUCCAAGCGUUAUCCGGAAUCAUUGGGUUUAAAGGGUCCGUAGGCGGUUUGGUAAGUCAGUGGUGAAAGCCCUUCGCUCAACGGAGGAACGGCCAUUGAUACUGCCAGACUUGAAUUACUGGGAAGUAACUAGAAUUAUGUAGUGUAGCGGUGAAAUGCUUAGAGAUUACAUGGAAUACCAAUUGCGAAGGACAG